rnacentral:rRNA from 1 species
AUUGAACGCUGGCGGCAGGCCUAACACAUGCAAGUCGAACGAUUGGCGGACGGGUGAGUAAUGUCUGGGAAACUGCCCGAUGGAGGGGGAUAACUACUGGAAACGGUAGCUAAUACCGCAUACCAUCGGAUGUGCCCAGAUGGGAUUAGCUUGUAGGUGAGGUAACGGCUCACCUAGGCGACGAUCCCUAGCUGGUCUGAUAGGAUGACCAGCCACACGGGCACUGAGACGCGGUCCAGACGCCGACGGUAGGCAGCAGUGGGGAAUAUUGCAGAAUGGGCGGAAGCCUGAUGCAGCCAUGCCGCGUGGAUUAAGAAGGCCUUAGGGUUGUAAAGUACUUUCAGCGGGGAGGCGUUACCCGCAGAAGAAGCACCGGCGAACUCCGUGCCAGCCGCCGCGGUAAUGC